rnacentral:misc_RNA from 1 species
UACGGAGGGUGCGAGCGUUAUUCGGAAUUACUGGGCGUAAAGCGCACGUAGGCGGUUUGUUAAGCUAGAUGUGAAAGCCCCGGGCUUAACCUGGGACGGUCAUUUAGAACUGGCAGACUAGAGUCUUGGAGAGGGGAGUGGAAUUCCAGGUGUAGCGGUGAAAUGCGUAGAUAUCUGGAGGAACAUCAGUGGCGAAGGCGGCUCCCUGGCCAAAGACUGACGCUCAGGUGCGAAAGCGUGGGUAGCAAACAGG